rfam:Aspergillus calidoustus genome assembly, contig: SCAF8
GUCAGUGUGGCCGAGUGGUUAAGGCGACAGCCUCGAACGAGAGGACGAUAGCUGUUGGGUUCGCCCGCGCCGGUUCGAAUCCGGUCGCUGACG